ensembl:lncRNA
GCAGCCAGCCACCUGCCUCUAGUUCUUCCCACAACCAGGGCAAGCUUCUUAACCAGAGGGGGAGGGCUCCUUCUUCAUUGCUCUCAUUCAAGCCAGCUCAUCUUUUCAGAGUCAGCUCAGAUGGCACCUUCUCUCUGGGACUUUUCCUGAAUCUCACAGACAAAAGUUGGCAGUCUCCUUCUGGGGGUACUCACAGUGUUUUUCUCAGCCUGUUUUUUCUGUCCAUGUGUGUGUUUUGCUAAGUUGGGAGUUCCUCAAGGGUCUCUGGGAGCCCAGGACCUUCACAAACAGCGCUCCGAUCACCAUUCUCUGCAACCCAGAGACCUGCCCUCCCUUUUCUGGUGUUUACAGAACAAUAAGAAAGCGAGGAGUGACUCCUUGGGACUGAGCCCCACCUGCCCUCAGGACCCAUUUCUGUUCUGCACGGGGCCUGCUCAGCUGGACACUUUAUACAAAAAAUCUAUGCAUUAUUUUGAAUCAAGCUCAAAAGGAGGCCUUGCUACCUGAAGGUACAGACACUCAGACGUUCAGACUGUCGUCGAUGGAGUAGCCACCAUGGAGGUUAAGGAGCCCGUAUGAGGGUGAUGCUCUCUGCACACUCCGAUUGAAGAUUUGAAGACCUGAUGGACCGUGCGUGUUAGGAGGGAUUUCAGUGGAGUGAAGUUCAGGAGGCGUGGAACUGACACCGGAGCUGCCGGCAAAAGUAGGCCUGACUUGGAAAAGGAAAGGCUCAGUGAGAGGCGUGCGAGCUGCAGACACCUUGUGCGUGUGCCCGUCUGCAGACGGGAUCUGCCUGUUACUUCUAAAUGGACAUGGGUGUUUUCUGUAACUCACAAAAAGUAAACGUUGCCUGU